rnacentral:rRNA from 1 species
CAUCUAAGCACGAAACUUGCCCCGAGAUGAGUUCUCCCUGAGACUUUAAGUCUCCUGAAGGAACGUUAAAGACGAUGACGUUGAUAGGCCGGGUGUGUAAGCGCAGCGAUGCGUUGAGCUAACCGGUACUAAUGAACCGUGAGGCUUAACCUUACAACGCCGAAG